UUCUCAUCGUCAUUCGAUGAUAAAUCCUUAACUAAAAAAGGAACAGCUUUGGCACCGCUGUUUCCCGUUAUUAUCAUACUAUGGUACGCACUGGCGCUGGUAGCAGUUCCAAUCUUCUUUUCUGUACGCUUUGCCUCUGCGAUCGAAAAGCUGUUUGAAGCCAUCGAACACCGUCUGCAUGCCGGUGACCUUUCUGGAAAGGGGGAGGCUGAAUGGCGCUGCCAGAUGAAAAUUCUGAUGCGCAUACAGGGCCUACGUCAAAACCCACUCGUUCUAACGGCCGGAAAAUUCUUCAACGUUGACCGUAACCUGGCUUUAUCGAUGCUUGGUGUAUUUCUCUCUUAUAUACUGGUCGUGCGCGAUCUGGUUAACCGAGUGCCCGAAGAGAAUAACACAUCCGUC